UACGAAGGGGGCUAGCGUUGCUCGGAAUCACUGGGCGUAAAGGGCUCGUAGGCGGCCAACUAAGUCAGACGUGAAAUCCCUCGGCUUAACCGGGGAACUGCGUCUGAUACUGGAUGGCUUGAGUGUGGGAGAGGGAUGCGGAAUUCCAGGUGUAGCGGUGAAAUGCGUAGAUAUCUGGAGGAACACCGGUGGCGAAGGCGGCAUCCUGGACCAUUACUGACGCUGAGUGAGCGAAAGCGUGGGGAGCAAACAGG
rnacentral:rRNA from 1 species